AUGGUCUCAGCACAGGAACUACCAUCGUCGUCAAACCCUGAUAGUCCAGUGGUUGAACUUAUUAUUUUUCUUCUUUUUCUGCAAGCAGAAAGUGGUAAUGUUGUUAAGGUUGAUACGUUUUUUUCGCUGUUACGAGUCACAAGCCGAUGUUUCCAAAUAAAGAAUGUGAUGCCCGUGUUGGUUCUUUUGUAUUGGUUCACGAGAUCAGGUGCUGAUGGUUUUGACCAAGUUUGGGAGCUUCUUUUCCCUACCUUUGAUCCACCGUCAUUUGUGGCUACCAUGAAGCCUAGCGAAGAAUCUGGGCAUUGGUGCUUGAUUGUUCUGAAUUUGAGGUUCCGUCGUUUCGAGUGUCUUGAUUCACUCCGUGAUGAAACCUGGGGUGAUGCAGUUAGAUUCUUAAGGAAUAUGACAGAUAAUAUAAAGAAGCUUUGGAGGGAGUCGGGUGUAGACAGGGCCAAAUCAUUCUCGCCGGUGCAUAUCGAUGGUUUCUCUUGGGAGUUUGUGUGGACCUAUCAUUGCCGGGAGGAUGGUGUAAUUGAAAUGGUCGAUUACAUCCAAGAAGACAUUCUUGACAUUAGGAAGACUUUGUUGUAUACCUGCGCAACUAGCGAUGUGUUUGAUGUUGACUUCCGGGGUGACUGGCUGGAUCUUGGCGAGCAUGACUACAGGUCCUUUGGCAGCCAGUUCUUCGAGCUCGAGCGCGUAGCUAUUGAUCUUAGCCAGGGGCGUUCUCCCGAAAAGACAAGAUCUGGUGUUAUGAAGGGGCGGUUGGGAGCUCUGAGAGGUUCUACGGCUGCUUGUGCAGAGAGCCCCACUACACCCAAGAAUCCCAUUGUGGAAUUGAUAGACAGCGAUGAUGAUGUGUUUGACAAGAUUGCUGGCGUGGGAAGAGUCACAAGGAGCGCUGCUGCCAAAGGUUUAUCUCCCCUUGCUGGAAUAGUGGCUCGUAGAGCUGGUGGUGCUAGGAAAGAUCCUGCUUUGGAUUCUGGCAAUGUUCAGCUUGACCCUCAUAAAUUCCCUCACCUGGACAAGUCUCACAAGUUGUAUAAUCUGUUGCUUAGUGAUGAAUGGCGUGAGAAGUAUGCCGAGAAUACAUUCUCAAUGAUACCUCAGCCUAAUGAAAGUGUAACUAGCUUCACUGGGAAUCGCAUCUGGGAAGUUUUUUCACCUGGGCAAAUGAUGGAGGGCGAUGUAAUGGACUUACUCAUUGAUGAUUGGAAGCAAGAUCCCGAGAGAAAUGCUGGUUUCGCAUCUGGGAAAAGGGUAUUGCUGAGUCCAUAUUUCAUCACGGUUGUGCUUGACUGUAUGUUUUACAGUGAUGAAAAUAAAGUGUUUAAUGUGGACAGUGCAGCGAGAGAUUUCAAGAGCUAUGUUAAAGAUAAGGAAGACUUGCUCAGUGCCGACCUUAUCAUGAUGCCUCUAUUCAAGCCUAUGAUUUUAGCAAAGGAUAAGAAAGUGAACCACUUUUCCAUAUAUGUCAUGAAUCGGUACCGAAGUAGCGUUGACAUCCUUGACUCUUUACCUUAUCCGAAGAACCGCCAUUCUUCAAAGAACACCUAUCAUAAAGACUGCAAGAAGAUUUAA
rnacentral:rRNA from 1 species